CGACAAAGCUUAUGAAUAGAAGCCUAAACUGGAGCAAUAUUUGAAGAUCAUCUGUCAAUAUAGCUUCAAUCUCAAGAUCAUCUCUAUGUUGAAGGAUAUAUAUUUCAAAUCAGAGAUGAAAAAGAAUCUCUAUAGAAGGUGUUGAUUAAACAUGCAAGAUCAUCAAUGGCUGUCAAGCUCACCUCGUAACAAAAGUUAAGCGAAGAAGUCGAAUAGAUUCCAACAUAUAUGAGUCGAGAUAGUUAGAAUCAACAUACGAAUAAAGCUCUAGAGUUCUUUAUACAGGAGCAACUGAUACGAAACAGUGAAGACAAAGAGGAAGAAAGGUAGAGAGAUAAUUAGACGAUGUAGAAUGAAUCUCUAUAGAUGAUAAGCAGGUUAGUUAAUCAUGUUUUUCCUGCAAUUUUCACUGGAAUAUUGCAAAUCUCCAUUGAACUAACUAAUGCUUUGUUUAGAAAUGUUUUAACAGUGGCAAAAGAGAGACCAUAUUGGAUUAACUGGGCAGAUCUCCACCAAGAUGAUGCCUAAGCUCACAUAGACAUUGAUCAUAUAUUGGACUAACUGUGCUGCCAGAAAGAUAUAUGUUGGAAAAGAAAGAAUGUACAUCCGUGUGUCAGUGUGUGUUGAAGAUCAAACACACAUAUUCCAAACAUAUCACAGAAAAAAGGUUAGAAAUCUACUUUCGACUUGGUAGUACUCAAAUUAAAAUAAAGUUAGUAAUAAAAAGAAAUCAAUUUCGAAACAGCAUCGGUUAGAACUAAGAUUAAACAUUUGCCUUAUAAUUUAUUUUUGGCUUGUCACUGAUUAUUGCUUGCUUAAUGGUACUUGAAUUUCUGUGUUUGG